rnacentral:tRNA from 1 species
GGGCCAGUAGCUCAACCGGAUAGAGCAGCGGACUUCUAAUCCGCAGGUUCGGGGUUCAAGUCCCUGCUGGCCUG